AUGCACCUCUUGGGCUUGGAGCUGUGGUGUUGCCGGUGCAACCGCUACCUCAUCAUUGACACCAUCAUCUCUGUCGUGGUAGUGUGUGUGUGUGUGCCGGUGUUCAUCAUUGUCAGCGCAGCCCGUGUGUACACCGGAAUCCUCUUGGGUGUUGCUGUCAUUGCCUUGUGCAGGCUCUGGAGGUUUCUGCCGUCGCACAAGCGAUGGGUGGAGCAGCAGGCAUGCAAGAUGGCGGCCAAGCUUGUGGCGGAGAGGCGCAUCGUGCGGCCACCAACGCAGUUGCCAUGGUUGCCACCUGAAGACCCGUCGACUGGCCGAAAGGACGCUGUGGUGUCGCCGGUCUAUUACCCCUGCGCCGCACCUUCCUCGACCCCUUUCUGCAGCUAUUGCUGCGGUGCUCCCGUGUCUGGAUACGACGUCCCAUCACUUCCAUCUCCUUUCACGGAUAGUGGGCACCUGCCUUGCAGAGGCUACACAGUGCCGCCUCCGACGCCACCCCCCCCGCCGCCGCUGACGAUGCGCUCGUCCUUCUCGUCCCCACGUUUUCCAUCGCCUUCUGACCCGCUGGGCCAUUCCCCCUGCUCGCUGCUGCUCCUGCCUCCCUCAUCGCUGCCUCAGCAGCAGGUAGGCGACCACACUAAGUUCGAACGCAACGGAUCCCCCUCGCUCUAUCAUUGUGUCUCCAUGACAUCGCGCGCAUCUUCUGGGCGGCACAGCUCCGUGGCCGCCAUCGCAGGUGAGGGUGACUCCAGGGCAGAGUCGAUGCGUUCCUUACCGGCUUCACCCGUGCCACUGGCGCUGCAGGACGCCUCUUACGCCAGUCUCGAAGCAAAAUCGCUCGCGGCGAAUGCACCCCGCUCGCGUCAGGGGUCGCACUACCUGCUCAGCGGUGCUUCGCCCUCGUCUGUGUUUCUUUCCCAGGGCGGUGGCGCAUCGCUCAGCGGUAGCAGUCAUCACCUCCGUCGCCAGUGGAGUCGCUCUGCCUCUCCGCCU